rnacentral:rRNA from 1 species
UACAUGGGGUGCAAACGUUGCUCGGAAUUAUUGGGCGUAAAGCGCACGUAGGCGGUUCGUUAAGUCGGAUGUGAAAGCCCUCGGCUCAACUGAGGAAGUGCACCCGAAACUGGCGAGCUUGAGUACGAAAGAGGAUCGCGGAAUUCCCGGUGUAGAGGUGAAAUUCGUAGAUAUCGGGAGGAACACCGGUGGCGAAGGCGGCGAUCUGGGUCGAUACUGACGCUGAGGUGCGAAAGCGCGGGUAGCGAACAGG